rnacentral:rRNA from 1 species
AGGAUAAACGCUGGCGGCGUGCCUAACACAUGCAAGUCGAACGCGCUUUCGGGCUUCGGUGCGAGAGCGAGUGGCGGACGGGUGAGUAACACAUGGGUACCUACCUUGGAGUGAGGGAUACCGGCGAGAAAUCGCCGACAAUACCGCAUAGGCUUCUUCACAAGGGAAGCAAAGUGACGCGAGUCACGCUUUGAGAUGGGCCUGUGGCCGAUUAGCUAGUUGGGGGGGUAACGGCUUCCCAAGGCGACGAUCGGUAGCUGGUCUGAGAGGACGAUCAGCCACACUGGGAUUGAGAACGGCCCAGACUCCUACGGGGGGCAGCAGUGAGGAAUUUUCCGCAAUGGAGGCAACUCUGACGGAGCAACGCCGCGUGCAGGAGGAAGGUUUUCGGAUCGUAAACUGCUUUUCUCGGGGACGAGCAAGGGACGGUACCCGAGGAAGAACGCCCCGGCUAACUACGCGCCAGCACCGC